GGCUCGGUAGCUUAGUUGGUAAAGCGCUCGUCUAGCAUACAAGAGCCCUGGGUUCAAAUCCCAGCCGAGCAC
rfam:Aedes aegypti strain Liverpool supercont1.958 genomic scaffold, whole genome shotgun sequence.